rnacentral:rRNA from 1 species
ACGGAAUAGAUACCCAGGUAGUCCACGCCCUAAACGAUGUCAACUAGUUGUUCGUAGAGGUAACUCUGUGAGUAAACGCAGCUAAACGCGUGAAGUUGACCGCCUGGGGAGUACGGCCGCAAGGUUAAAACUCAAAGGAAUUGACGGGGACCCGCACAAGCGGUGGAUGAUGUGGAUUAAAUUCGAUGCAACGCGAAAAACCUUACCCACCCUUGACAUGUCUGGAACCUUGCUGAGAGGCGAGGGUGCCUUCGGGAGCCAGAACACAGGUGCUGCAUGGCUGUCGUCAGCUCGUGUCGUGAGAUGUUGGGUUAAGUCCCGCAACGAGCGCAACCCUUGUCAUUAAUUGCCAUCAUUAAGUUGGGCACUUUAAUGAGACUGCCGGUGACAAACCGGAGGAAGGUGGGGAUGACGUCAAGUCCUCAUGGCCCUUAUGGGUAGGGCUUCACACGUCAUACAAUGGUCGGUACAGAGGGUUUGCCAAACCGCGAGGUGGAGCUAAUCCCUUAAAGCCGAUCGUAGUCCGGAUUGCAGUCUGCAACUC